GACAGAGGAUGCAAGCGUUAUCCGGAAUGAUUGGGCGUAAAGCGUCUGUAGGUGGCUUUUUAAGUCUGCCGUCAAAUCCCAGGGCUUAACCCUGGACAGGCGGUGGAAACUACCAAGCUGGAGUACGGUAGGGGCAGGGGGAAUUUCCGGUGGAGCGGUGAAAUGCGUAGAGAGCGGAAAGAACACCAACGGCGAAAGCACUCUGCUGGGCCGACACUGACACUGAGAGACGAAAGCUAGGGGAGCGAAUGGG
rnacentral:rRNA from 1 species